rnacentral:lncRNA from 1 species
UCGCACCGGGGCAGCUCCCCGCCCCGGCCUCCCGCGCCAGCCCCGAGGCGGCCGCCCCGCCGCCGCCGCCGCCGCCGCCGUCCGCCCCCUUGCUCCGCGGGCGCCGCUCCGCGCUCCGCCGGCGGCCGCAGCCUGACGGCGUCCCCCGCUCCUCCGCCGCCCCCUAACCCAUGGCAGCGGGGCGAGCGGCGGCGAGAGCGCGGCUGAGCGGGGUGCAGCGGCGGCGGUGCCGGUGCCGCCCUCUUCCCACAGCUCCCGGACGCUCCUGCUACCGGUGCUACUGCCGCCACCACACCGCCCGGUCCCGGCCCGCGCCCCCCUCGCUGCCGAGCCGGGCGCCGCCGCCGAGGCUCUGGGAGCGCCCGCGUGGGGCGCCCCGGGCUCCCACCGCGCCUGCGUGCCGGACCGCCCCGCGCCCGCCCCUUCGUGCCGCCCGCCCCGCCUCGCGCCCCGCCCGCACCCCGGGCGGCUCCGCUCCGACACCGGCCCGAGAUCCGGCUCCUGCGCAGGCAGGACUUGGCAGGAAGGAGUCCUACCCAUGGCACACCUGUGAUGGAGGGUUCCCUGCUUCUCUCUCUGUUAGAGUGGGCAUCUGCAGGGACUUCUGGGCUUCCAGUGUUGCAAAACCAAAGUAAACUACUGAAAAGUGGCAAGGAAACAAGCACACCCCAAGGCCAGCACUAGUUAUUAACAUCCUGCCUCCAUUUUCUGCCAGCCACUCCUUUGCAACCAUUCCUGGUGUUUUCUAUCAAGUGGCCAUCACAUUGCCCCAGAAGAAUGGGAGUCUGUACAGUAAGCUGCAUCAAAUAAAACGGAAGGCUUUUAACA